ACAUCCAGCGAACUUGGCAGAGAUGCCUUGGGUGCCUUCGGGAACGCUGAGACAGGUGCUGCAUGGCUGUCGUCAGCUCGUGUUGUGAAAUGUUGGGUUAAGUCCCGNAACGAGCGCAACCCUUAUCCUUUGUUGCCAGCGAUUCGGUCGGGAACUCAAAGGAGACUGCCGGUGAUAAACCGGAGGAAGGUGGGGAUGACGUCAAGUCAUCAUGGCCCUUACGAGUAGGGCUACACACGUGCUACAAUGGCGCAUACAAAGAGAAGCGACCUCGCGAGAGCAAGCGGACCUCAUAAAGUGCGUCGUAGUCCGGAUCGGAGUCUGCAACUCGACUCCGUGAAGUCGGAAUCGCUAGUAAUCGUGGAUCAGAAUGCCACGGUGAAUACGUUCCCGGGCCUUGUACACACCGCCCGUCACACCAUGGGAGUGGGUUGCAAAAGAAGUAGGUAGCUUAACCUUCGGGAGGGCGCUUACCACUUUGUGAUUCAUGACUGGGGUGAAGUCGUAACAAGGUAAGCGUAGCGAG
rnacentral:rRNA from 1 species